AGUAAUGUGGGCGAAACUGUGGCAAGUGCCGUAAUUGAGAUUAAAACAUUAUAACUUGACUUGUUUUACUUUUGCUAAAUCAUUUCAAGCAGCUAAACACGCCUAAUGAGAAAAGUUCAGGCCGUGGCCGCCAUUAUGAUUAUACACAUGUAUAUAAUAUUUAUAUAAAUGCAUGUGAGUGCGAGUGUGUGUGUGUGUGUCUGUGUGCUUGUGUGUGUGAAUGUAGGCGGACCACAUAAAGGGAUGAGCGGGCAUUCAUGCUCGCACUCAUACUCGCUCUCGGGACAGCACUUGAAUGGCAGCUGCCGCUGCUGCUUCUGCUGCUACUGCAGCUUCUCUGUGGCUGACAUGCGAUGCACUUGUGGGGCGUGGCAGCACCGGCCGACCGACCAAGUGCACUCCUGUCGUCCACUUGAGCGUUAUUGGAAUGUAAAUGUAUGCAUAUUAAGGUGUGGGACGGCUGCACGACGCGUUUGCAGCCCCCGCGACGCGUCAGCAAACUUCAAAAGUUAUUCACAUACGAGUCGAGCUCUCCUUCUCCACUUCCCUUCCCUUUUUUGUAUGUCACAUGUCAAUUGCUACAAAAAAAAAAAACAACGACAAGUCAAACAGCUCGGUUGCAGUAAUAAAAAUAAUAAUCAUCAUGUUAAAUGUAAUUAAAUUUUUAAUUUAGAGCUAGCGCCAGCCACGACAAUCUUCAAUUAAAACACACAAUUACCAGGGCCGCCCGCCGCGUUGAACCCCACCCAGGCGGGAUGUGAAUGAUGGAGAAGAGCAGUAAUGAGGGGAAGAUGAGCAGAGAAGCUGGGACAGUUACAGGAAUAGGAUAUGCCAAGUGCUCCAAAAGUUUUGCGGCUUAUUCAUUGUCCGCAGCCAUAUACAAAAAACAUAAUAAAAAAAAGAACUGUAAAAUGCUGAAGCGAGCAACCAACAAACGAAGGGUCUCAUCCUGCUGCUUCUACUGCUCCUUCAGUGUCCUUGUCGUCGGCCUGCCCAGAAAUUUGUGCCCCAAAAAGUUUUUGCACACUGUCAACACGGAAGGAAUUAUUCCGCAUUAAGUUUGUGGUAAUGGCGGCGGCAGUCACACACCAAGUGUCCUCUGCUAUAGUGUCCUGUCUGGCAACGUAGUUAUUCCUGUUGUUGUUGAGCAAUGUGCGCUUAAAAUUAAUGCACUCGCCGCUGCUGCUUGCAGGAAGAAGACGGACUCCAACUCCAACUCGAACUCGAACCCGGCAACAGAAGUGGCCAAAAAACUUUCGGACCUGCGAGUGCCAGUUUGUCCUGCUGCUGGUCCCGGGGGUGGGGGUAAAAAAGCAGAGGACCUUGUGGGCAAAGGGAAGGCCCACAGUUUUGACUGUUGUUAAUUAGAUGCACACUGUGCGCCACGGCGGCUUUGUCGUCAUCGUUGGCCUUGUAAGUCGCGAAAGUUUAAUUGAGCACUGGACGGACUGUGAUACAUUUCUGUGAGCGCUGUAGAUUAUACUAAAAUGUAAAUUAAUUGAAGCCUUUAAUGUGGCCAAGCAGCUUUACAACACUGAUUCAUGCAAAAAGGGUGAAACAAAUUCAAAUUUGUAUGUGCGUGUUUAACAUUUCAACUCACUUUUAUGGCGCAUAAUUAAAGAUACCACAUGCCUACAUAUGUAUGUACACAAAGUUGGUUUGCACUCAAGGAAAUCCAUUAGGUUAAUAAACUAUUAAUUUAAAUUUUGCGGAGAGCCAAAGAACAUCAUAUAUUAUGAUAGCGUUGGCAUUCAGAUAAUCUUGUUGCUUGCCCACAGUGCUCUUCAUUAAAUUAUGGCUGGCAAACUGUCUGUUAUAUUUAUUUGCCGACUGUCGAGUGCAAUUACCAUUAUGCAGAGAUGCAAAGACAGAGACAGAGAGCAGGAGAGCGAGAGAGAGAGAUGUUGCUCACAGUUGCAUGCCACAUACUUCAUGUUGCAUUUGUUCAUUUGUUGCUGCUGUUGUCUGGCGGCCUUGGCAAAUAUAUUUGACAAAUGGCAGCAAAUAAACAUAAUAAAUAAAAAAUACGAAAUGCAUUCGAGAGCAGCACAAAACACAUACACACACACAAAACAACAACAACACGAGUUCGUAACUAGCUGGGAGUCUGUCCAUCUGCCCAUCUGUCCAUAUCCCAGCACAAUACUUCUUUUCGGAAAAUGGAGAAUGCAGAAUGGCGAAUGGCAAUGCAUUCACAUGCGGCGUGUGCCGCCGUCGUCGCCAACAAUGAGCACAAUAAAAAGCCAUGCAUUUUCCAAACACCAAAAAUUGUUCACAGCGGCGGCAACAACAACAACAAAUGCCAAUGGGUAACAGCUCAGCCAAACAGCGACAGCCAGAGCAACAGCAACGACAGCAGCAACAACAACUGAAAGAAGAACAACCGCACCGGAAACAUCUCAUUCACUAAAUUUGUGGUCGGUUUUUGCCAAGCGCUCUCCGCGUUAGGCAGUCGAAGUUGUGAAAUGCCAGCGGGCAGCUAGGAAAGGGAAACGGGAACAGGGAACAGGGAACGGGGAACGGCAAUGGGAACAGGCAACAGGGAACGUGGAAUGGGGAAUGGUAACUGUGAAUGCUUGUGGGGUGGGGACGAGUGGAGAGGGAAUUGGAGCCGCCAACGCGAGCGUUGUUAGUUCCAGCAAAGCUCGAGGCAACGGAAAUUCGGAAUGACAUAAUACGUGCCCAUGUGCAUGUGUGCAUAAAUGUAUGUAUGUGUGUGUGUGUUUAUGUGUAUGUGUGUGUAUACAGAGUGUGUGGCUGGCUGGCUACCGCGACUUGAGUUGAUACAGCAAUAAUUCAUAAAGUGUUGCAUGCAAACGAGGCUGCAGCUGAGCCACACACACACAAACACACACUCUCACACAUGCAGCCACAAUUAUAUGCUUGUGCAUGUGUGUGUGUGCGUAACAUGCGACAGAGCGUUGGCAAAAUUAAAAUUGCUGCACAACAAACAGCGGAAACUCAGCGAGGAGCCGACAACAGCAACAGCAAACGCGAAGUGCAGCUGCAAAAGUGGCGGAGUAAGGAGGAAGAGGAAAUAAAGGGGAAUAGGAAGAGGGGGGAGAUCGGAGAGGCAAGAGCAAUGAAAUUCAUUGUAUUCUUACAACUCGACGCUGGCUGCUCAGCCGACGAAGCGGUUUUGCAGUAAAGUUAUUAUUUCAUAAAGCCAGAAUUAUUGAAACAAUACUUUACUCUCGCACUCACUUACACACGCCUGCAUAUGUGUGUGUGUGUGUGUGUCUGUGUAUGUGCGCUUGUCAUGCAAAAUUGCGCUUUAGUAGCAUAAUUUUUUAUGCCACAUUGUUGCAGCUGCGGCAACUAAAGCAAUAUAAAAUAUAAAUAGAAAUUAAAAGCCAGCAAAUAAAUGAAAACAGGAAAAAAGGCGAAACGACAAAAACUUUUUCAUGACAAAAGCAACUUGAGUCGAGUCGAGUUGAGUUGAGUUGAGUUGAGACGAGUUGGGCAUAUAUGUAUGUAUAUGUAGAGUAUAAAAUAUAGUUAGUUAUUGUUGUUGCCUACGGCCUGGCGGCAGUCGCUUCAUAUGUGUAACUAAAACGCAUGUGUGUGAGGGUGACUGUGAUUCGACCGCCCAUAUAAUUCCUCAAAAUGGCAGACAUUUGUGUUUGUUUGGCGCGCUUCCUGGCGCUGCCACUUCCGUUUCCGCCAGCCACGCAGCACGGAACAACAAAGUCGCAUGCAAUUAAAUAAAUAUGACAACAACAGACAGAUAGACAAAGCAGCGAACAGCGAGAUCACUAGAGAGUGUGUGUGUGUGUGUGGGAGGAGAACAACAGACGGUUGAAUGAAUAAAAUAAAUAAAUGUAUUUAUUGAAGUAUGUUUGAUUACACAAUUAACGUCAUAUAAUUCGUUGAAUGCGUUGCGAGUCCCCCGCAGCAACUGUGGCAAUAAUCAAACUUUUAAUCCUCUGAGGAAAAGCAUUUUAUUACAAUAAAAUGUUGCAGAGCUUUGCAAACUAAUCGCAUGUGGAACAAGCUUCACUCUUUGGCAAUUUUAUCUAUUGUGAAUAAUCAAUAGUAAACAAUUUUAUUUCCGAUAAGCUUGUGCCAAAUACCUUAUUCAUCUAUUUUUUUACUUAUCAGAUAGCAUAAUCCUCUUUACGGUAGAUACAAUCUCUGGCCAUGCAGUCACUUCGAAGUUUCGCCCCCUGUUUGGUAUUCAACGAAUUUGUUGCAGUCAUAACUUGUGCUCAACUGCUGCAAUACUAAGCUGCAUUCUGUGGCAUUUCGCAUACAUUGUGGCAAACAAAUACUCACACAUUCACAGACCACACCACGCAUACGUAUACGCAUACGCAUACACGCACAUGCAUAUAGAAAACGUUAUCAAUACGCUUCACAUUUGUUUUCAUUUUACGAUUGCGUAACGAGAUCAACGUCGACAAAUCCAAAAGCCACUAAAACCACAGCCCGCAAGGGAGAGAGAGAGAGAGAGAGAGAGUAAAAGCGAGAGCUCAGGCCAGAGCAGAAUCCGAAUCCAGACCCAAGAGCCAAUACCAAUAUGCCAAAUAGGGGCCGCGAGCGCCAAAUCAGCUGUGGCUCUUUCAAUGGCAAUGCCAUAGUCGAGUCGUAGGUGAAUGUAGCUGUAUGGGGUCGGGUGGGGUGUUGCAUCCUUAUCGACAGUAUUAUCUACGAAUGAACUAACAAAAAACUGUAAAGAAAGAAAAAAAAGCACAACACAACACAUGGCUGCAGCCGCGG